UACAGUAUCAGGUUUCCAGGUCUGGGUAGCUGAAUGAGUAUGAAUGAAUGAGUUGCCAGAUAUUCCUACUGUAUCAGGUUUCCAGGUCUGGGUAGCUGAAUGGGUAUGAAUGAAUGAGUUGCCAGAUAUUCCUACAGUAUCAGGUUUCCAG